GUGAUAGUUGUGAUUUCUGACCCUGCAGCCUGUAAAACAGGCCUGAGAGUCAGAGGUGAAUAUUGUGUGGUCUUUCUGCUGCUGCAACUGCCACUUAAUUAAUGGCCCAUCAGGGGGAGGGGCCGCCCCCCCCUGCUCUCAGCCACUCAGACGAACAGGUGGGGGAAGGGCAGCUUUCUGUGAGAGCAGGUCACCUGCAGGUCUCACAGAAAGCUGCCCUUCCCCCACCUGCACGCGGAGCUGAAGCUCAGAGCUGAGGCAUGAGGCGAGAGGAGUGUGAGACAGGUUUCAAGGCUGCAGCAGCACACUCUUGGAAGGAGACGCUACAGCUAGCGGCCUGCUAGCUUUUGAAAGACUGGAGCGACUCAACUAAGGAAAAGACGACUUUUAAACUUUCUGUGCAGGUCCAGAAAUUGAUGGGAGUGAGAAAAACACAGUUGGACUGUGACUUUGAGGAGUCAGGAAGUGAUUCCUCUGGGUCUGAAUUAUGCAGCAAGAUGAACCCAGAUUACAUAAGAAAGCUUCUGUACACAAUGGAACAAGGGGCCUCCACCUUCACGGGAAAGACACAAUUGAUCCUCCUGUCUCUGGUAUGUAUGCACUGUGACAUAUCUUGUUUCGUCUUGCUCGGUUUUCUUGUCUUGCAAAAAACAUUUUAAUACUUUAGAUUGCUAUCAGUCAAGCAACUGUAGUAUUUUCCAAGGAAAAUGCCCUCUGGACAAUCUGGUCUAU